GUUUUAAAGAAAAAAAGAAAAAAAGUAUACACUCAACGUCGGCCAAAGCAUAGCUUAUUUAUUCAAAUCAGCCGGGGAAAUGCA